rnacentral:rRNA from 1 species
CAGUUCGGAUUGCAGUCUGCAACUCGAGUGCAUGAAGCUGGAAUCGCUAGUAAUCGCGAAUCAGAAUGUCGCGGUGAAUACGUUCCCGGGUCUUGUACACACCGCCCGUCACACCAUGGGAGCCGACAACGCCCGAAGUCAGUGACCUAACCGAGAGGGAGGAGCUGCCGAAGGCGGGGUUGGUAACUGGGGUGAAGUCGUAACAAGGUACC